AUUUGCUUCAUUUUGGACCACUGUCAUCCCAGCUUUUUAGGCACUAUUUGAAUUGGGCUAAUCCAUGAACUAUCUGAAAUGGAGUAGAUAAUUUCAUUAUCGAGUAACUUGAGAAUCUCUUUCUUCACUACCUCCUUCAUAGCUGGAUUAAGUCUUAUUUGGGGGUCUCUGAUUGGCUUGGCUUUCUUCCCUAAAUAAAUUCGAUGUUGGACAAUUGAAGGGCUAAUCCCUUUAAUAUCAGCCAUGGUCCAUGC
rnacentral:lncRNA from 1 species